UAGAUCUUAUGUGCUAAAAGUUCUUUUUUGUACCAUUGGGUCUGUUUGAAAUCAAGAUCUCUGGCUUGCAGAUAUAUUUUUAAUUGAGAACAGAUGUGCCCCUGGCCAUUCUGGGUAAAUUAUUUUUGGCUGUGGUGUGUGUGCCUCUAGACCCUGCACCCAAAUGCCUGUUUUCUGCUCCCCCUGGGAGGUGACUGUAAGUGUUAGGGAGGGGUCAGCUCAAAGGUCCCAAGGCCUGGGGAGGACAAGUUAUGGUUCAAGCGAACACGGAACAUCUCCCAAUAAGCCCUGUCCGCUCAGGCUGGGCAGACGGCGAGGAGGGAGCCAGCCUGGUCCCUGGGGGAGUCUGCACCUAUGUAUCUGUUCUCCUCAUGUAAACUAGGAGACCCCUGUCUACUGUCGGGACUGGACAAGCCCUGGAACAGAGUGUUUCCUUUAGCUUCCAGAUUCAGUGUCCACAUCAUUGACUCCAGGAAAAUCUGUUCAUCUGAGUCUACACGUGCAGGCAGCGAACAGACGUCCAAAUCCCAAUGUUUCUUUGUUGAGCACGGGCUCACGCUGUAGCGGAACCCUCGGCAUAUGGGGUAGUGCCACGGGGAAGCCAUCUUACAGGAAGAGAAAGACAAGAUGGGUGGAGGAAGCCGCUAGGAAAGCUCUUCUCUAUGGCUCAGUGUUCUGUAGAAGAUGGAAGUAAAAUGGGUGCAUGUGGACUCUGCCGUUAGCCUGCCUGGGACUUUGUGACCGUCCGUCACCGUGGCGACUGUGACAACCUCUGAGACCAGUUAGGCCACAAGAACACAGCGGUCUCCCCAGCUCCCGCGCACCUUCAGAUGCACUCAUUCACGCAGCAAAGUGGACGUGCCUGCCCAGACAGCCGGAGUGAAGAUAGUUACUGGGCCCGAGGGAGAAAAGCCCCACCAUCUCUGGGACAUUGUCGCAGGCCUGUGGGAAUCCUCUGGCAACCACAUUUCUACUUUCUGGCUCUAAGAAUGUGACCACUCCUGGUGCCUCAGCCCAAGGUGAAAGUUCCAGAGGCGGGCUGCUCUGACCCACUGCUGUUUAAGGACACAGGUUCCUUGGCAAGUCUUUGCUCUGUCCUCCGCCGUCGCUGACUCCCCGGGAUACUUGUCAUCUGCACGGUUGAAGGUGGUUAUGCGCACAUCCAAGUUCAAGGUACCAACAAAAAGAAGAGAAUCCGUGUUGGAAAGGAACUUGAAAGAUUAUCUGAUCAUCUCUGCCUUCACGCAAGUGUAUUUAUUGUAAGCUAAUGAAUGAAGACGUGCAGGUAUAUACUCAGAUGUGACUGAGGUUAGACCAUGGGCAGCUGGUGAAGUGAAGAUGAGACAGAAUCAUACUGCCUAGGUUCACAAUCCAGAAAUCCAAUAUUUACUUAUUUCAAUAAUAAUUAUGCUGUGGGGAAGAGGGCGCAAACUCAUGAUGCAGAUUUCCAUCAAACAGAAUGACAACUGCUAGAAUUACUUUAGUCUAAAGAGUGCGUUUCAGGGGUGCCUGGGUGGCUCAGUCGGUUAAGCGGCCGACUUCGGCUCAGGUCAUGAUCUCGCG